GUGACUCUCAUCAGAGAAGAAGUGUGAUGAUCAGUCAUCAUCAGAGACUCUCACAGAAGUUUUGAGUUUCAGCUGCAAAUUUCAGGUCUUCUUGGAGUUCACUCAUUCUUUAAGUUGGUUGUUGCUGCUACUGCUGUUGUACAUUCAAGAUAUGGAAGUCGUCGACUGAAGUUGAUGCAAAAUGAAACCAGCAAAGAAGAUCUAGCCUGUUUGAGUGUAGUUUUUUGUUUGUAGUUGCAGACUC